GAAUGUGCUUAUGAAAUCACGAGCAAGUGAAAAAAGCAAUUUCUACUACUUUUCAACAGGUUCUAUCAAAAUUUUGCAGUCCUACAUUCAACCAAAACAAGGGGAAAACCAAAGAGCUCACAAAUGACUGAGAUUUGCCUCUUCUAUUUUGCCUUCUAAUUUACAAAUUAUUUAUACCAUCAAUCAUUAUACAAAUAAAGAAUGUGUGCGUCAACAUAUGCCACAGGAAUACCGUAACUCUCAUCUAACCUGUAUGUUUAAGCUCAAAAGCUAAGAAGAAUCAUAACUAACCAUUCAACUUUUUCAGUUUAAUGUCCUUUCUCUCAUCAGUUCACUUGAGGAAUGUUUCCAAAAGGUGGCUGUUACAAAUAACUACAAAAAUAAGUCAACAAAACCACCUCCCCCCCUCAACAGUCCUGAAAAAAUGCAACAAAAACUAUUAGUUUAUGCGACUGUCCCAUUCAGAAACAAAUCACUCCCACGACAAGGAAAUCAGACACCAUCAACACUUGCUGCAACAGAGAUCAGAACUACUUUCUGCACCUUAACAAGCCAAUCUGGGCUGGGCAACCAAUAAAAGAAUAGGAAGUAACAGACCGAUAAUAUCAAGACCCAGAUGUCAGCAUACCUCCCCAGGUGUUCCCUGGAGGCUAACAGCCAUGUUGGGGAAUUGUAGAAAGGGAAAGUCCUAUCAUUCGCAAUAAAUCAGUAAGGAAUGACAUAUG
rnacentral:misc_RNA from 1 species